rnacentral:rRNA from 1 species
UCACACAAGAGACCCAAAUUAACCGUAUACGGCGUAAAGAGUGGUACAAUGCUAUCAUAGCAACUAGGAUUAAAAUGCAGCUAGGCUGUCAUAAGCUCAAGAUGCACCUAAGAUCACCUCUAAGAUGAUCCUAGCAUUUCUGAUUAAUUUAACCCCACGAAAGCUAGGGCACAAACUGGGAUUAGAUACCCCAUUAUGCCUAGCCCUAAAUCUUGAUGCUUACCUUACUAAAGCAUCCGCCUGGGAACUACGAGCACAAACGCUUAAAACUCUAAGGACUUGGCGGUGCUCUAAACCCACCUAGAGGAGCCUGUUCUAUAAUCGAUAACCCACGAUUCACCCAACCACCUCUUGCUAGAGCAGCCUACAUACCGCCGUCGCCAGCCCACCUCCUCUGAGAGUCCCACAGUGAGCACAAUAGCCUAAAACCGUUAGCAAGACAGGUCAAGGUAUAGCCUAUGGGGUGGAAGAAAUGGGCUACAUUUUCUACGAUAGAAAA